AGUGAACGCUGGCGGUAGCCUAACACAUGCCAGUCGAACGGCAGCACAGUAAGAGCUUGCUCUUACGGGUGGCGAGUGGCGGACGGGUGAGGAAUACAUCGGAAUCUACUUUUUCGUGGGGGAUAACGUAGGGAAACUUACGCUAAUACCGCAUACGACCUACGGGUGAAAGCAGGGGAUCUUCGGACCUUGCGCGAUUGAAUGAGCCGAUGUCGGAUUAGCUAGUUGGCGGGGUAAAGGCCCACCAAGGCGACGAUCCGUAGCUGGUCUGAGAGGAUGAUCAGCCACACUGGAACUGAGACACGGUCCAGACUCCUACGGGAGGCAGCAGUGGGGAAUAUUGGACAAUGGGCGCAAGCCUGAUCCAGCCAUACCGCGUGGGUGAAGAAGGCCUUCGGGUUGUAAAGCCCUUUUGUUGGGAAAGAAAAGCAGCAGGUUAAUACCCCGCUGUUCUGACGGUACCCAAAGAAUAAGCACCGGCUAACUUCGUG
rnacentral:rRNA from 1 species